rnacentral:rRNA from 1 species
UACGUAGGGGGCAAGCGUUGUCCGGAGUUACUGGGCGUAAAGCGCACGCAGGCGGUCUGUUAAGUUUGGAGUGACAGUUGGUGGCUCAACGUACCAAAGUGCUUGAAAACUGACAGACUUGAGGACUUCGAGAGGGACAGCGGAAUUCCGGGUGGGAGUGGUGGAAAUGCGUAGAGAUCCGGAGGAAGCACCAAACGGAGCGAAAGGCCAG